GACGAACGCUGGCGGCGUGCCUAACACAUGCAAGUCGAGCGAUGAAGCUUGGUGUUUGCUCCAAUGUGAAGAUCAGGGGACGGGUGAUUACCGCGUGGUGAAUCUGCCUUUGAGAGGGGGACAACAAUUGGAAACGAAGGCUAAUACCCCAUAAUAAAUUUAAACUUAAGUUUCACGUUUGAAAGAUGCAGUUGUAUAAGCUAAAGAUGGGCCCGCGUUGUAUUAGCUAGUUGGUGUGAUAAAGGCCCAACAAGGCGACGAUGCAUAGCUGGGCUGAGAGGACGGCCCGAAACCCUGGGAGUGGGAGACGGACGGAAUUCUUAGGGGAGGCAGAAGUGCGGAACAUGGCACAACGGGGGAAAGAAUGAUGUAGUCAGGUCGCGUGAGUGAUGAAGGAGAGAGGAUCGUAAAGGUGUGUGAAACGCGAAGAUAAUGACGGUAACUAAGGAGAAAGCGACGGCUAACUACGUG
rnacentral:rRNA from 1 species